UUGAACGCUGGCGGCAUGCCUUACACAUGCAAGUCGAACGGUAGAGGGGCAACCCUUGAGAGCGGCGAACGGGUGAGUAAUAUAUCGGAACGUGCCCAGUCGUGGGGGAUAACGCAGCGAAAGCUGCGCUAAUACCGCAUACGAUCUAUGGAUGAAAGCGGGGGAUCGCAAGACCUCGCGCGAUUGGAGCGGCCGAUAUCAGAUUAGGUAGUUGGUGGGGUAA
rnacentral:rRNA from 1 species